GAAAACAGAGAAGGGAAAGAAGAAAAGAAAGAAAAGAGAGAAAUAGGGUUUUUAAAGUUUGGGGUUUAAUUUGGUAAGUCAAUUUAGUUCAUUUUCUUAUAAUCUUGAUGUUUUUGGAGUUUUAGAGUUGAAUAUUAUUGAAUUUAAGUUGAAAUUUUGAAAAUUAGUAUAUUUUUUAGCAGGGUUCAUGUUGAAUAAAUGAUUGAAUUAGGGGUUUAUUUGAUAGAAUUAUUGAUUAGAAUUGAUUAAAGGAUUAAAUUGUAAACUAGGCUAUAAGUUUUGUUUUGUAGGGACUAAAUUGAAAGAAAUUCGAAAUUAUGAAAUUAUGAUGAAAAUUUGAUAGUUAAAUUUAAGUUUAUAUGGAAUUUGGAUAGGAAUAAGAUAUAAAUUGUAAUGGGAAAAUAGAUGAAUUUAGUUAGGACUAAAAUUAGAAUUUAAGUGAAAGUUAAAUAGAAAUUUAGUAUUUAAUGUAAAUUAGUAAUAUAUUAAUGAUUGUAAAUUAUUUUAAUUUUCGUAGCUAACAAAGAACCUAAGACAUCAGCACCGAAAGGAAAGGAAAAAGUUAUCGAGGAGUAAUCGCGAAAUUUCGGUUUGUAUUACUAUAAUUCAAGUUAUUCAUUAUUAAAUAUUAAUUUUAAUUUAUUUAAUUUAUGGUAAGCAAAUAUUGAGGUAAGAAACUUUAUUGAAUUGAAUUUUGAUUAGUGAAUGAAAAAGUGAAUUUGAUAUUAAAAGUAAAAUUUGAAAUGAAAGUGAGUUUGAAUUGAGAAUUGGAAACCCUAUUAAUUAGUCGGACUGAGUCGGAUAUAAUUGGCAUGCCAUAGGAUCGGAAGAGUUCAGGGAUAUUUUGACCUCGAGUCGAUGAGACACUGGGUGUCACUAUUUUACUUCGGAUAGAUUCGAUGAGAUACUGGGUAUCACUUUACUUCGGCUAGGCCGAUGAGAUACUGGGUGUCAACUUUGCUUCGAACUAUCCGAUGAGGCACUGGGUGCCAAUCUGGUGUGUUUGGUUGGAUCCAUAUAUCCGCCAAAGUCCGAGUCUGUUAAUAGGGGUAAUUAAUUGAAAAGAACCGUGGUUGUGGAAUAUAAUUUGAAAAUGUGAAUAGAAAGCAUUAACUAAAUGUUCAUGAGAUAAAUAAUGGCUCAAUGUGAUAGUAUAUGAUAUUAACUAAUGAAAGCCAAAUUGAAUUGUAGAUAUUGAGAAAUGAAAGUUAAAUAUGAAUUAGUUUGGUAAACUUUUUUUUUAAAGUUAAAUGAUUUAAUGAUUUAAUGAUUUAAUUUACUUGGUUUUUAUAUUACAAUUUGAAUUAUAGUAAUACUACUGAGUAUGAAAUACUCAGUGUACGGUUGUUCCUGUGCGUAGGUUAGUAGAAAUUAAGGUUCCGGCUCAGCAUUCAGGGUGAUCCCGACUCCAGUAUAAAAUUUGGUGAUGUAAUCUUUCUUUUGGUAAACUGGCAUGUACUUAAGUGUUAUAUUGGUCACUUGAAAGUGUCUUCUGUUUUUGGUUGAAAAUGAAUAUUUUGAAACUUGGUGUAAUGAAAUGGAA
rnacentral:lncRNA from 1 species